CAUCUGUCUGCUGGGCACGGUCGCAGUUGUGUGCGGUGCGCCACACCCGCUGCGCCUGAGGAGGAGGAUGGAAUCCGCCCCCCGUCUUUACUUGUAAAAACUUUGCUGACCUUUUAUCUAAAGUCAGGGCUUCUGAGAAGACAACUGCACACAAUCAAGAUUACCCUUGAAAAUCUUUUAGGAAGUGAAGAUGAAUAUGUUCUAGACUAGCAUGGACAAUGUAUCAAGACCACAUCUCAAGAUAAAUACAUAAAGUAAAUUUUUAAAAUUGGGCCACAUCAUCACUGAAGAAUUCAGAACCUUGAUACAAACCUGACUCAGAAUCUAAUUACAUUUUUGAAAAUGUAGAUUCAUCAGAUCAGGACUUGAACUGAUAAACAUGACACAUUAAAUAGCACCUGAAUCUGGUCAAAUGUAUACAUUUUCAUGCCUCUUACCCGGGGCUGCACGUUCUAAUCUUCCAGGAGUUUUGGAAAUGCCUGGUACUCAGGCCACCACGGAUACAGAUCACCUCAGGCUUCCUGGAGGGGGCUUCAGGAAGACUUCCUGCAGGGGACCCCAUCCUGCCACUGUGGCUGGGGACCAUGUGCUGGGAGGUGAGCGGCAGCUAAGGGAACAGCUGCACCGCGGAGGCUCCGACCCUUGACAUUUCAAAAAGCGUGAAAGGCUUGUGUCUUGCUGUCUUCUGUUCUUGAGCAGAAGGCACUUAUGAGUUCUUAUUUGGUCCCGAAAUGUGAGCCGCUCUGCUCAGACUUCAUUAAGGAAAGUGUGGGCGAUGUCACCACGGAGUCUCUCUGGCCAUCUGGCCUCUAACAAGAAGUUACUCUGGUUUUGUAGAAAAUGAAAGAAACGGGGUGAAGUGGGAAGCAAGACUUAUCCAAAUGGCUGUGAUCUUUCUGCGUGAUAGAAGAAUGUGUAAGGCCAGUCAGCGGACAUUUGGAAUGAACACUGAAGCAAUAUUAAAGCUGAAAAAAAUGUACACAAGACUUGCCUGCUACAGGACAGAGUCGCAAGAUCACGCGGACGGGGAAAUGGCCUCUGAAGAUGUAUUUUGAGCCAGCAGCCACUUGCCUGGAGAUGAUGCAGCCCCCAGCUGAAAGCACGAGGCUUCUCCGUGGUUCUCUUCACAGGCCCCUGUUUUCAGCUCAAUCCUGCGCACUGUUCCUCCUGCUAACUGAUUUGGCCUCGACCCAGGGUGCCUUGGCGUUUCAAAGAUCUGAAGAGACAUUCAUAGCUAUUUUACUGGACGAUUGGGAGAAACUUUACAUAUUUGUAAAGCAGAAGCCAUUCUGAUGAAUUUUAAACCAUACUGCGUCAGAGUUAGGAGUGACUAUUGAAGGUCAAUGGUACCUCACAUUCCGCCGCAGAGGUCAGAGACACCAAGGAGCGCUGUGGUUUGGGGACCCUGAAUGAAUAAUUGCUCAGAGCCCAUUCUGUCAACGUGCGCCCUGGAGGAAAUGAGAGCCGUUCCUGUAUUUACCGGGUAUGCACGCGUGGCAGUGAAGAGGACCCUUGCGAACACUCGGUUACACAUGUGUGUGGGCGGAUACCUCUGCGGGUGCUGACUGCUGCAGUUCGCCGCUCCUGCCUCGUCUGCUACCACGCACGCCGUCUUUUCGUGACUGGUUCCAGGUGCACACGGUGCGCUUCUACACUCAGCUUCUCUUCCAGACUCCAGGGCAUGAGCUCACGGCAGGGAGAGCGUUACUGUCAGGAAUAUCUCGCCGCCGGCUCCAGGACAGACCAUUAAAUAGUUGCACAAGUCUUUGUCAGCGAGCUAUUGUUCUGCAGGUGCUUUCUGUGUUGACACAGCCCGUGUUGGCUCUGUUUUAUGUAUUGCUCUUUCUUUUGAAGAAAAUCAUAGCAAAAGCAGGACUCCUACCACAAAAUGGAAACAGUUUAUAUAUUUAGCGAUUGAACGCCUCAGAAAAGAAUUGAGCAAUCAGUAAGAGAUGAAUGGAUGAAUGAAAAACAAAUCUACCUUCAAAAAAUACUAAAACAAGGAAAGCAGAAGUUAGAGUAAAAAGACAUUUGCCAGAUAGAAACAAGGGUUCCUAGAAGCGCAGAGGGAAAAGUGAAAGGCAGUUCAAUUAAUUGUAAGGAGGUAAAUAAUUGUUUAAAUGCAGACAUGCUCACAGCUCUGCGGUAGAAAAAAAGGUGUAAAUCACAGUCCCAGCCCUUGGUUUAGUGUUCAGAGCUGAAAAGAGAAACUAGAACAAGUAAACAAAUCAGACAGAUCCUGUAAGUAUCACUUAUAUUAACACGUGUUUCUCUAAUGAUCUGUUUUAUCCUAAGCACAUGUGGCUACGGUGCCCUCAAAGAUAGCACUUGUGAGUCCUGGGAACACGCAGUUAGAGAAUAAUAUAUAGCUGUCUGGAAAGAAAUCGAGAUUUUUGGAAAACUUAAGCAGCUUCUGUACGACUGCCUGUCCCAUGCCCGGACGGCCCCUGGACAGACCGCACUUAUAGGAACUCGCCUUCCUCCUCCUAUGAAAGGCGCAUUUGUGUCCCUCGGAAUGAGAGGCAUGCGUGGUAUGAACGCAGGAGUCAAGGCCACCGCAGGCCGACAGUUGUGACGCGUACUUCGUGCUCUCUACCCUUCCCUGCAGAUAAGGGCUUGUUGGCUAUCUACAUCCACUGCUUGUACCGGCUUAGUCCCGAAUGCUUUGCUGCUGUUGUAAUUUUUACUUUUACUUCACCUUUCUCUGUGAUUGCCAUUGGGAAAUUUCAUCUCAGUCUUGAAUCUGUCUGAUCUCCUGCAACCUUCCCUAGCAUUUAUUUGGUAUUUCCUCGGUCUUUACACAGGGCUCAACAAUUUUAAAAUUCUUUGUCUUUAACUCUUAAAUGGAAUAAAGGCUCAGAAAUUUAUACAAUGUUUAUAAUCCCCUACAUUUUAAAUCUGUAUGGGCACCA